CAUUCGGUGUACAACGUUGCAUAGCCCUGCACACUCAAACCUGUGCUUCAUUUCCUUGCAAAUGCUUUUUUUAUAAAUAUCGUGGCCGUGUUUUUGAGGUUAAAAGAAAACAAUUCUCGGUGCAGCCCAUAUUGAGACACAAUAAAGCACAAACAAUUCAUUUAUUUUUUUCAGAUGUUGCAUGUCAAAGGCGGCGGCUGAAAAGAAAUGCAGUACCUACUGAAAACCUGCCAAAGACAUCAUGCUAUGAUGAAAAAAGGAUGCUCGUAUGAAAGAGAUUUCACUGGCAAGACUUCGCCGACGUACAUGUCGGUCAGCCAGACAUGAAUCAAGCAAACAGUCUGCGUCCUCCCCAUUGGCAGCAAAGGAAGCCCAUGCACCACCAGGACGACCACCAUGGACACUCUCGCAUCCCCUGACGGCUACAGCAUGGUCAAAAUAAGUGAAAAAGAAAAUAUGGACGAUCUCCCAUCCCCUAACAGUAUGGACCAAAGCCUUGAAAACGCAACAAGUGACAAGGACAUAGCAAAUAUGGUAAUUUAUUUUCCUAUAUCUUUUCGAAACGUGGGAGGCCAAGCUAACCCUCGGGGACCUGGAAGACCAGCGACAACUCGUCGCCAGGGCCAAGAGGGCAGUCGAAGCCAGAGGGUUCCUGGACUAAGGAGCCCUCCCACCUUAGGGUGAUACCCGGCCUCGCUCGGGACACUGUUUCGUUUAAUAAACGUUUCUCUCUCUCUCUCUCUAUAUAUAUAUAUCUUUGUGAUGUGGCAGCCGUCUUUA